ACCCUGUAUGGACGGCUGGGACAGCUCGGUAGGACAUGAGACUUUCAAUCUCAGGGUUGUGGGUCUGAGCCCCACAUUGGGCA